rnacentral:rRNA from 1 species
GACGAACGCUGGCGGCGUGCUUAACACAUGCAAGUCGAACGGAAAGGCCCUUCGGGGUACUCGAGUGGCGAACGGGUGAGUAACACGUGGGUGAUCUGCCCUGCACUUUGGGAUAAGCCUGGGAAACUGGGUCUAAUACCGAAUAGGACUGCGCUCUUCAUGGGGUGUGGUGGAAAGCUUUUGCGGUGUGGGAUGGGCCCGCGGCCUAUCAGCUUGUUGGUGGGGUAAUGGCCUACCAAGGCGACGACGGGUAGCCGGCCUGAGAGGGUGACCGGCCACACUGGGACUGAGACACGGCCCAGACUCCUACGGGAGGCAGCAGUGGGGAAUAUUGGACAAUGGGCGAAAGCCUGAUCCAGCAACGCCGCGUGAGGGAUGACGGCCUUCGGGUUGUAAACCUCUUUCAGUACCGACGAAGCGCCAACAACGGUGGUGACGGUAGGUACAGAAGAAGGACCGGCCAACUACGUGCCAGCCGCCGCCGUAAAAC